UACAGAGGUCCCAAGCGUUGUUCGGAUUCACUGGGCGUAAAGGGUGCGUAGGCGGUCGGGUAAGUCUGAUGUGAAAUCUCAGAGCUCAACUCUGAAACUGCAUUGGAUACUAUUCGGCUUGAGGUCUGGAGGGGGGACUGGAAUUCUCGGUGUAGCAGUGAAAUGCGUAGAUAUCAGGAGGAACACCGGUGGCGAAAGCGGCUCACUGGACCGUUUCUGACGCUGAGGUGCGAAAGCUAGGGGAGCAAACGGG
rnacentral:rRNA from 1 species